rnacentral:lncRNA from 1 species
AGGACUUGCAAGAAUUUUAAAUUCCAUGUAUCGUACAGACUGCAAGGCAAGACAAACAGAUUUUGUCAAAACACGCAACCAAUCAUACUCUACGACGUCACUAUUAAAACCGUGGUUGAUGUCAAACAUCAGUCGUACACGCGUUAUAGUCUGUAUAACCUUGAUUUUUAUAUUAUUCAAUGAGUGAAGAAUAGCUAUAAAGGUAGCUAAGACCGUAAGACUAAAAGACCGACGUAUCGAUUCUUAGGACCGUUGAAUGGUCAGCCCACACAAAUGGAGAGAUGAUCCUUAUCAGCUGCUUAAGGAAUACUGGGACUGACUAUAUUUGCGCUGAGCUUUAAAUCUAUGAGUCGGAAAUUCCUUAGAUGACAUCAAACUUGUCAAAAUUCGUGGGGUAAAACUUUUUUAUAAAUGUCGUUCUAAAUUAAUUCAUUUUAGUGCAUUCAUAUUAUACUUCAGUAUUACUAGAAAUUCAUAUAUAUUUUUUUUAAUUGACAGUACAUAUCAUUAUCAUUCAUUAAAAGAGUAAAAAUUA